rnacentral:rRNA from 1 species
GGCCUUCGGGCGCUGACGAGUGGCGGACGGGUGAGUAAUGCAUGGGAAUCUGCCUGAUAGUGGGGGACAACCUGGGGAAACUCAGGCUAAUACCGCAUAAGCCCUACGGGGGAAAGCAGGGGAUCUUCGGACCUUGCGCUAACAGAUGAGCCCAUGUCGGAUUAGCUAGUUGGUAGGGUAAAGGCCUACCAAGGCGACGAUCCGUAGCUGGUCUGAGAGGACGACCAGCCACACUGGGACUGAGACACGGCCCAGACUCCUACGGGAGGCAGCAGUGGGGAAUUUUGGACAAUGGGGGCAACCCUGAUCCAGCCAUGCCGCGUGUGUGAAGAAGGCCUUCGGGUUGUAAAGCACUUUCGGACGGAACGAAAUCGCACGGGUGAAUAUCCCGUGUGGAUGACGGUACUGUAAGAAGAAGCACCGGCUAACUACGUGCCAGCAGCCGCGGUAAUACGUAGGGUGCGAGCGUUAAUCGGAAUUACUGGGCGUAAAGCGUGCGCAGGCGGCUUCGCAAGUCAGACGUGAAAUCCCCGGGCUUAACCUGGGAAUGGCGUUUGAAACUACGGAGCUGGAGUGUGGCAGAGG